rnacentral:rRNA from 1 species
UUUUGAUGACGACCGGCGCACGGGUGCGUAACGCGUAUACAAUCUGCCUUAUACUGGGGUAUAGCCUUUAGAAAUGAAGAUUAAUCCCCCAUAGUCUCUAGCUAUGGCAUCAUAGCUAGAGUAAAGGUUACGGUAUAAGAUGAGUAUGCGUUCUAUUAGUUUGUUGGUGAGGUAACGGCUCACCAAGACUACGAUAGAUAGGGGCCCUGAGAGGGGGAUCCCCCACACUGGUACUGAGACACGGACCAGACUCCUACGGGAGGCAGCAGUGAGGAAUAUUGGACAAUGGAGGCAACUCUGAUCCAGCCAUGCCGCGUGCAGGAAGACUGCCCUAUGGGUUGUAAACUGCUUUUAUAUAGGAAGAAACCUUGGUACGUGUACCAAGCUGACGGUACUAUAAGAAUAAGGAUCGGCUAACUCCGUGCCAGCAGCCGCGGUAAUACGGAGGAUCCAAGCGUUAUCCGGAAUCAUUGGGUUUAAAGGGUCCGUAGGUGGAUAAUUAAGUCAGAGGUGAAAUCUUGCAGCUCAACUGUAAAAUCGCCUUUGAUACUGGUUAUCUUGAGUUAUUAUGAAGUAGUUAGAAUAUGUAGUGUAGCGGUGAAAUGCAUAGAUAUUACAUAGAAUACCAAUUGCGAAGGCAGAUUACUAAUAAUCAACUGACACUGAUGGACGAAAGCGUGGGUAGCGAACAGGAUUAGAUACCCUGGUAGUCCACGCCGUAAACGAUGGUUACUAGCUGUUUGGACCUUGUGUCUGAGUGGCUAAGCGAAAGUGAUAAGUA